rnacentral:rRNA from 1 species
AGGUGGGGUAACGGCUCACCUAGGCGACGAUCCCUAGCUGGUCUGAGAGGAUGACCAGCCACACUGGAACUGAGACACGGUCCAGACUCCUACGGGAGGCAGCAGUGGGGAAUAUUGCACAAUGGGCGCAAGCCUGAUGCAGCCAUGCCGCGUGUAUGAAGAAGGCCUUCGGGUUGUAAAGUACUUUCAGCGGGGAGGAAGGGAGUAAAGUUAAUACCUUUGCUCAUUGACGUUACCCGCAGAAGAAGCACCGGCUAACUCCGUGCCAGCAGCCGCGGUAAUACGGAGGGUGCAAGCGUUAAUCGGAAUUACUGGGCGUAAAGCGCACGCAGGCGGUUUGUUAAGUCAGAUGUGAAAUCCCCGGGCUCAACCUGGGAACUGCAUCUGAUACUGGCAAGCUUGAGUCUCGUAGAGGGGGGUAGAAUUCCAGGUGUAGCGGUGAAAUGCGUAGAGAUCUGGAGGAAUACCGGUGGCGAAGGCGGCCCCCUGGACGAAGACUGACGCUCAGGUGCGAAAGCGUGGGGAGCAAACAGGAUU